AAUUAGAAAUAUGCCACAGUAAAAGUGUUAUUGUGUAUAUGUUCCUCCUUUAAAAUCCCCAUUUGUAUUUACUUUAUCUCACUGCAAUUAGUCAGUUUACCAUACUAUAUAAUUGUAUAUGCAAAAUGCAUAGUCAAUCUAGAGAAAAUAAAGAGAAAGACAGCAAAAAAAAAAAAUCCUCAUAACACAAGUAAAUAAAAUGGUA
rnacentral:misc_RNA from 1 species